rnacentral:rRNA from 1 species
GACGAACGCUGGCGGCGUGCCUAAUACAUGCAAGUAGAACGCUGAAGGAGGAGCUUGCUUCUCUGGAUGAGUUGCGAACGGGUGAGUAACGCGUAGGUAACCUGCCUGGUAGCGGGGGAUAACUAUUGGAAACGAUAGCUAAUACCGCAUAAGAGUAGAUGUCGCAUGGCAUUUGCUUAAAAGGUGCAAUUGCAUCACUACCAGAUGGACCUGCGUUGUAUUAGCUAGUUGGUGAGGUAACGGCUCACCAAGGCAACGAUACAUAGCCGACCUGAGAGGGUGAUCGGCCACACUGGGACUGAGACACGGCCCAGACUCCUACGGGAGGCAGCAGUAGGGAAUCUUCGGCAAUGGACGGAAGUCUGACCGAGCAACGCCGCGUGAGUGAAGAAGGUUUUCGGAUCGUAAAGCUCUGUUGUAAGAGAAGAACGAGUGUGAGAGUGGAAAGUUCACACUGUGACGGUAUCUUACCAGAAAGGGACGGCUAACUACGUG